GACGAACGCUGGCGGCGUGCUUAACACAUGCAAGUCGAACGGAAAGGCCCUGCUUUUGUGGGGUGCUCGAGUGGCGAACGGGUGAGUAACACGUGAGUAACCUGCCCUUGACUUUGGGAUAACUUCAGGAAACUGGGGCUAAUACCGGAUAGGAGCUCCUGCUGCAUGGUGGGGGUUGGAAAGUUUCGGCGGUUGGGGAUGGACUCGCGGCUUAUCAGCUUGUUGGUGGGGUAGUGGCUUACCAAGGCUGUGACGGGUAGCCGGCCUGAGAGGGUGACCGGCCACAUGGGGACUGAGAGACGGCGCAGACUCCUACGGGAGGCAGCAGUGGGGAAUAUUGCACAAUGGGCGGAAGCCUGAUGCAGCAACGCCGGGUGCGGGAUGACGGCCUUCGGGUUGUAAACCGCUGUCGCCUGUGACGAAGCGUGAGUGACGGUAAUGGGUAAAGAAGCACCGGCUAACUACGUG
rnacentral:rRNA from 1 species